rnacentral:rRNA from 1 species
AUUGAACGCUGGCGGCAUGCUUUACACAUGCAAGUCGGACGAGUGGCGAACGGGUGAGUAACGCAUCGGUACGUACCGAGUAAUGGGGGAUAACUGCCCGAAAGGACAGCUAAUACCGCAUAUUAUUCGAGCGGCCGAUGUCUGAUUAGCUGGUUGGCGGGGUAAAGGCCCACCAGGGCGACGAUCAGUAGCUGGUCUGAGAGGAUGAUGCGCCAAACUGGAACGGAGCCACGGCCAAGACUCCAACGGGAGGCAGCAGUGGGGAAUUUUGGACAAUGGGCGCAAGCCUGAUGCAGCCAUGCGGCGUGUCUGAAGAAGGCCUUCGGGUUGUAAAGGACUUUGGUCAAGGAGGCGGUACUUGAAGAAUAAGCACCGGCUAACUACGUGCCAGCAGCCGCGGUAAUAC